rnacentral:rRNA from 1 species
AUUGAACGCUGGCGGCAGGCCUAACACAUGCAAGUCGAGCGAGCGGCGGACGGGUGAGCAAUGUCUGGGAAACUGCCUGAUGGAGGGGGAUAACUACUGGAAACGGUAGCUAAUACCGCAUACCAUCAGAUGUGCCCAGAUGGGAUUAGCUGGUAGGUGGGGUAACGGCUCACCUAGGCGACGAUCCCUAGCUGGUCUGAGAGGAUGACCAGCCACACGGGAAGGGAGACACAGUCCAGACUCCGAAGGGAGGCAGCAGUGGGGAAUAUUGCACAAUGGGCGCAAGCCUGAUGAAGCCAUGCCGCGUGAGUGAAGAAGGCCUUCGGGUUGUAAAACACUGUCAGCAGGGAGGCGUUACCCGCAGAAGAAGCACCGGCUAACUCCGUGCCAGCCGCCGCGGUAAUUC